rnacentral:rRNA from 1 species
GAUGAACGCUGGCGGCGUGCCUAACACAUGCAAGUCGAACGAAGCUUGACGGAUGAUUUCUUCGGAAUGAAACCAGAUAUGACUUAGUGGCGGACGGGUGAGUAACACGUGAGCAACCUGCCUUUCAGAGGGGGAUAACGGCUGGAAACGGUCGCUAAUACCGCAUGAUGUGUUCGGAUGGCAUCAUCUGAACAUCAAAGAUUUAUCGCUGAAAGAUGGGCUCGCGUCUGAUUAGAUAGUUGGUGGGGUAACGGCCUACCAAGUCUACGAUCAGUAGCCGGACUGAGAGGUUGAACGGCCACAUUGGGACUGAGAUACGGCCCAGACUCCUACGGGAGGCAGCAGUGGGGAAUAUUGCACAAUGGGGGAAACCCUGAUGCAGCAACGCCGCGUGAAGGAUGACGGUUUUCGGAUUGUAAACUUCUUUUCUUAGUGACGAAGACAGUGACGGUAGCUAAGGAAUAAGCAUCGGCUAACUACGU